AUUGGGAUUGAGCUUUGUGGGUCAGACGCUGUUUCCCGAUUGUGGUCUGGGAGCCCAGGCUGAGCAGCUGCUGCUCCCCCAGUGGGAUCGGGGCAGGGGAGUGACCAUGAGUGAAGCUUCCUGUGCCAGCCAAGAGUCGAGAACAUCCAUCUGCGAGGAAAGAGCCGGGGGAAAUUGUGAUGUGACGUGACUGUCCUGUUCUGACACGUCCCCUUCAUGCCCUGACAGGCUGCAGUGUCACGUCCCAUCCUCCCAGGGAAGAGAGAUGGCUGCCCUGGGGCCAGCUCAGAUAGGGAUUAUCGGGCAGUUGCUGGUGGGCUCCUGUUGGCGGCAGAAAGGCUGUAAAGCCAUAGGAGGGACUGGUGACUUUCGAGGAGGUGGCUGUGUAUUUCACCAGGGAAGAGUGGGCUCUGCUGGACCCCGCUCAGAGCGCCCUUUACAGACGUGUCAUGCAGGAGAACUACAAGAACGUGACCUCGCUGGGUAAGGAUUCCCAUCCCCUGAGUUCUUAGAAGGGGAAAUGAAGAGUUAAGGUUCACAAUACACCCUCGGCGUUUCCCUGUUUCAGCGACACCCCGAGAGGCCAGUGAGACGCAGACCAGCGCUCUGCCCUCCCCGCUACAGAACACUUUGGGAGCAGAGCACAGGCGCAGGACAGUGCAAACUCUGACACCGUCUCUUUGCUAAGGCAAAACUUGGGGUUAGGUCCGAUGUAGGGAACAGAAGCUGCCUCCCCCCGGCCUGCUCUCAGAUCCUGAGCCUACUGCACACAAUCCAUCUUGGACUUUCAUAAUGUCACCAUCCCUUUACCCUUCCAAUGAGGAUUCCUUCUGAGUCCUUGCCUUCACUUACCCCUCACUGAGCCCCAGGGACCCCAGGCAUGUAUGGCACCAGCCUGCUGACAAACCUUGUGGCAAGAACACACCCUUGUGCGCCUUUAUUGAUGCUGCCUACACCACUCCGCACUGAAAUGAGGAAUACCUGUUCCUUCCAGUUUCAUGUGCACCUCUCUCGGUGUCACAGCUCUGCCAAGCUAGUCCCUCCACUGUUCAUGUAAAGCUACAGCUGGCACAGUGCACGCUGCUGGAGUGCCUGCGAAUAAAUGCUGGUAUUCACAUCUGAGGGACACAACGCACAAUGGCAUGUGCUGAGUCCUUCCUUCUGUCAAUCAAGACAUUUUAAGGCCAAGGGAGACUAUUCGGUCAUCUAGUCUGACCUCCUGUGUAAUACGGGCCAAGAGAGGUUGUGGGAUCCUGGUCACUGGAGGUUUUGAAGAAGAGGUUAAACCGAUGGUCUGUGUAUACUUGGUCCUGCCUCACGGCUGGAGGAUGGACUAACUGACACCUUGAGGUCCUUUUACCCCGUGUGUUUGUUAUUUUAUGAUUCAUGCUCCUAGCCCUUCACUUUGACUUGUCUCCCUCUGGAGAAUGGGGGCUUUAUUUAGUAGGUUUUUUAAUGACAAAUAAGCAUGGGUCAGCUUCCCUCUCAAUGUGCUUCGUUACUGACUGGGUGUGAAGGAGUGAAUUCCUCUCCUGGGAUGGAGGUGUAAUUCCUGUUGAAGUAGCAUAGGCCUGUCUCCAUUUACAUGGAAACACGAUCGAGAACUGUCCGUGUAUGAAUGCAGCACACUGGACAAUGCAAAGCCUCUCUCAUGUGGCUGUAAAUACCUACUGGCUGCAGCACCCCAGAAGAGACGGUGUUUAUAAGGAGUCUGAAAUCAUUGAGACUCGCUGAGGUGCCAUCAUGACACACAAGGGUGCUGCCUCCAAAAUGCCCUGUCUCAGAGUGGUGGAGCUGUGGGGAACAC